ACGGAGGAUGCAAGCGUUAUCCGGAAUGAUUGGGCGUAAAGAGUCCGUAGGUGGCGAUUCAAGUCUAUUGUCAAAGAGCGAGGCUUAACUUCGCUAAGGCCGUAGAAACUGAAAAGCUAGAGAGCAGUAGGGGCAGAAGGAAUUCCUGGUGUAGCGGUGAAAUGCGUAGAGAUCAGGAAGAACACCGGUGGCGAAAGCGUUCUGCUGGGCUGCAACUGACACUGAGGGACGAAAGCGUGGGUAGCGAACAGGA
rnacentral:rRNA from 1 species